CGAGCCGCCGGGGACUACUGAACUUCAUGCCUGAGAGUGAUGCAGUCUGAGUCUGAAUAUAAAAUCAGUCAAAACUUUCAACAAUGGAUCUCUUGGUUCCGGCAUCGAUGAAGAACGCAGCGAACUGCGAUAAGUAAUGUGAAUUGCAGAAUUCAGUGAAUCAUCGAGUCUUUGAACGCACAUUGCGCCCCCUGGCAUUCCGGGGGGCAUGCCUGUCCGAGCGUCAUUGCUGCCCAUCAAGCCCGGCUUGUGUGUUGGGUCGUCGUCCCCCCCGGGGGACGGGCCCGAAAGGCAGCGGCGGCACCGUGUCCGGUCCUCGAGCGUAUGGGGCUUUGUCACCCGCUCGAUUUAGGGCCGGCCGGGCGCCAGCCGACGUCCAACCAUUUUUCUUCAGGUUGACCUCGGAUCAGGUAGGGAUACCCGCUGAACUUAAGCAUAUCAAUAAGCGGAGGAAAAGAAACCAACCGGGAUUGCCCCAGUAACGGCGAGUGAAGCGGCAAGAGCUCAAAUUUGAAAUCUGGCCCCUCCGGGGUCCGAGUUGUAAUUUGCAGAGGAUGCUUCGGGUGCGGCCCCUGUCUAAGUGCCCUGGAACGGGCCGUCAGAGAGGGUGAGAAUCCCGUCUUGGGCAGGGUGCCCGUGCCCGUGUGAAGCUCCUUCGACGAGUCGAGUUGUUUGGGAAUGCAGCUCUAAAUGGGUGGUAAAUUUCAUCUAAAGCUAAAUACCGGCCGGAGACCGAUAGCGCACAAGUAGAGUGAUCGAAAGAUGAAAAGCACUUUGAAAAGAGAGUU
rnacentral:sRNA from 1 species